UAGGAUUAGGAUUAAUAGAAAUUAACAAAAAUUAGUAAAAAUAAGUAUAUAUACAUAUUUAGAUAGUGUUAGGGUUAGAAAUUAGGGUUAAAAGUAAGAGUUAGAAGUAGAAGUUAGGGUUAGAAGAAGUUAGAUUAUAGUUUUUUAUAUAUUAUAAAAUAUAAAAAAUUUAAAGUUAGAUUAUAAUUAGAUAAUUAUAAAAAUUUAAAUUAUAAAAAUUAUAAAUUGAAAUUAUUUUAGAUAUUUUAAAUUUUAAAGUUAAAAAAUAAAUUUAAAGAAGGUAUUUUAAUUUUUAAUGUUACAAAUUCAAGUAUUAUAAAAGUUAUUUUAAAUUAUAAAUCCUAAAAAGUAAAAAAUCAACAACUAAUGAUUUUUUUAAAAAUAUAAUUUUUUUUUUAAAUAACAAUUUUUAAUAUGAACUUAGUAGGUCAGGGUUAGUCUAAUUUAAUAAAUUCUAAAAUUCAAUUUAAUAAAUUAAAUAUUUUAAAAGUUAUAAAAUAAUUAGUUAUUUUAAAUUAAAAAAAAUAGAAGAAGUUAUAAGUUAAAGUUAUUUUAGAUAUUUUAAAUUUUAAAGUGAAAAAUAAAAUUAAAAAAAGUUAUUUGAAGUUAUCAAUUCAAUUAUAAAAGUUAUUUUAAAUUAUAAAUUCUAAAAAGUUA
rnacentral:lncRNA from 1 species